UUUCCGUAGGUGAACCUGCGGAAGGAUCAUUACUGUGUAACCGCCCUACGGGGUAUGUCGCCCACCCUAUGGGACUAUCACUCCCGUGUUUUGUCGCACCCAUCCAUCUCGCCCCGAUUUGCACCACCGCGUGGGUCCCGCUUGCCCUUGGUCCCAAGGGCCCUUACGUUUUCAUCCACUCAUUACCUUCAGAGAGGUAUGACUUUUUUUAUUUGGCGAUCUCGUUAUCGCUACAAUUUUCAACAACGGAUCUCUGGACUCUCGCAUCGUUGACGAACG
rnacentral:misc_RNA from 1 species